UACAGAGGGUGCGAGCGUUGUCCGGAAUCACUGGGCGUAAAGGGCGCGUAGGCGGCCUGAUAAGUAGGGGGUGAAAUUCUGCGGCUUAACCGCAGGACUGCCUCCUAAACUGUCGGGCUGGAGCACGGUAGAGGCAGAUGGAAUUCCCGGUGUAGCGGUGGAAUGCGUAGAGAUCGGGAAGAACAUCAGUGGCGAAGGCGGUCUGCUGGGCCGUUGCUGACGCUGAGGCGCGACAGCGUGGGGAGCAAACAGG
rnacentral:rRNA from 1 species